GGAAUAUUGGACAAUGGGCGCAAGCCUGAUCCAGCCAUGCCGCGUGCAGGAUGACGGUCCUAUGGAUUGUAAACUGCUUUUGUACAGGAAGAAACACUCCGACGUGUCGGAGCUUGACGGUACUGUAAGAAUAAGGAUCGGCUAACUCCGUGCCAGCAGCCGCGGUAAUACGGAGGAUCCAAGCGUUAUCCGGAAUCAUUGGGUUUAAAGGGUCCGUAGGCGGUUUAAUAAGUCAGUGGUGAAAGCCCAUCGCUCAACGGUGGAACGGCCAUUGAUACUGUUAGACUUGAAUUAUUAGGAAGUAACUAGAAUAUGUAGUGUAGCGGUGAAAUGCUUAGAGAUUACAUGGAAUACCAAUUGCGAAGGCAGGUUACUACUAAUUGAUUGACGCUGAUGGACGAAAGCGUGGGUAGCGAACAGGAUUAGAUACCCCAG
rnacentral:rRNA from 1 species